rnacentral:lncRNA from 1 species
UGGGGACUGGCCCAGCAUUUUAAACUUAAUCCAGGCCAUGGCCAGCUGGACCCUGAGAUGGUGCUAUCUGAGAAAGCCAAUGGGAGCAACCUCCGGGGGUGCACAGAGGAAAGGACGCUCAGCCUAACCUUCCCGGGGCUGUCCAUGCCAGCAGCUCCGCGUGAGGGAGGGGCCCGCUCCUGCUUGGUGAGAGAGUCAGCACGCGGUGGCCUGCAGGUGAACUGUCACCCCUACAACUCAGCUUGCAACCAGCCCUGGCCACCACCAGUUUCCCCACACUGAGCUGAAUAUUGGACAUGCCCAUCUUAGGCAUUCCAGCCCAUUCUGAAAUUCCACAUCGAUUCACCCGACAAAGUCUGAAGUUCCAGGGCAAUUUAUCUGGAAAAGCUCACCUGGAAUCACGUGUCAUUUCAACCAACAACUGUUGAAGAGGACGUGGCAUUAAAACCAAGGGUAUCAAUUAUUUAUAAGGGCUGUGUGCUGGUUGGUCCAAGCAUCUCUCCUUCAUGCCAUCACUCCUUUCAAGAGCUGCCUCUGUUUUCUAAUUUAGCACAGGAAUUUAGAUGCCCCUAAAUAAGUAGGCAUCCAGUAUCUGCCCACACCAGUUUUUGUAAGAGUACAUAUGGAGACACUGCCACCACCCCUGCUCUCCUACUGCAUACCCCACCAUGCCAAAGCAUGGUGGCUCACACCUGUAAUCCCAGUGCUUUGGGAGGCCAAAGAGGAGGAACACUUGAGAUCAGAGGUCUGAGACGAGCCUGGGCAACAUAGUGAAACCUCAUUUCUACAAAUAAG